GACAGAGGAUGCAAGCGUUAUCCGGAAUGAUUGGGCGUAAAGCGUCUGUAGGUGGCUUUUUAAGUCCGCCGUCAAAUCCCAGGGCUCAACCCUGGACAGGCGGUGGAAACUACCAAGCUGGAGUACGGUAGGGGCAGAGGGAAUUCCGGUGUAGCGGUGAAAUGCGUAGAUAUCGGAAGGAACACCUGUGGCGAAAGCGGCUCACUGGACCAUUCUGACGCUGAUGCACGAAAGCUAGGGGAGCAAACAGG
rnacentral:rRNA from 1 species